GAUGAACGCUAGCUACAGGCUUAACACAUGCAAGUCGAGGGGUAACGAGAGGGAAGCUUGCUUUCCUUGUCGACGACCGGCGCACGGGUGAGUAACGCGUAUCCAACCUGCCCCCAACUAGGGAAUAACCUUGCGAAAGUAAGACUAAUACCCUAUAAUUUCCUCAGAUGUCAUCUGACGAGGAAUAAAGAUUUAUCGGUUGUGGAUGGGGAUGCGUCUGAUUAGCUUGUUGGCGGGGUAACGGCCCACCAAGGCAACGAUCAGUAGGGGUUCUGAGAGGAAGGUCCCCCAAAUUGGAACUGAGACCCGGUCCAAACUCCUACCGGAGGCAGCAGUGAGGAAUAUUGGUCAAUGGGCGGAAGCCUGAACCAGCCAAGUAGCGUUCAGGAUGACGGCCCUAUGGGUUGUAAACUGCUUUUAUACAGGAAUAAAGUUAGCCACGUGUGGUUAUUUGUAGGUACUGUAUGAAUAAGGACCGGCUAAUUCCGUGCCAGCAGCCGCCGUAA
rnacentral:rRNA from 1 species